GGUCCCGGGACGGGAUCUUCCUUCCGUGCGCAUGGCACAUUCCCGGGAUGUACCUGACCUUGUGAGGCAAUUAAAAACCCCAGAAGACUCGAGCUGCCGGGGUCGGUGACACACGGGACACACGUGACGCACGGGACACACACACACACACACACACAGACACACACAGACACACACAGACACACACGCACGCACACACACACACACACACACUGCUCCCGCUGGGAUGGGACGGUUUCCCGUGGGAUCGGUUCCCAGGCAGGGAGCACACACGGGAAGGACGUGAUGGGAUCACGUGGGUGGUACCGGUGUCACGGCCCACGGGAGCCGGUUCCGGCUCAACGGCCUCCGCUGUCCGCGCGACCGCCUCGUUACCGGCCGCGGCCCCGCGGCCCCGCGCGCGCUCCCGGUCGCCGGCGGCGCGGCGCAUGCGCGGGGGGCGGGCGGCGCGGGGAUCCCGGCCCGCCGUGCGCGUGACGUUGUCGCGUUUCGCGCCGCUCGGGGCCGGCGGCGGCCCCGGUCCCGGUAUUUUCAUGGCCACCGGUGUUUCAGCAUGAAGCUUGGCUAGAGCAAAAUGGACUUACUGGGGAGAGCUGCCUGCUGGGAUGAACACUUGCUAGCUGAGAGCUGAAGCGUGGUCACCA
rnacentral:lncRNA from 1 species